rnacentral:rRNA from 1 species
GACGAACGCUGGCGGCGUGCUUAACACAUGCAAGUCGAACGGAAAGGCCCUGCUUUUGUGGGGUGCUCGAGUGGCGAACGGGUGAGUAACACGUGAGUAACCUGCCCUUGACUUUGGGAUAACUUCAGGAAACUGGGGCUAAUACCGGAUAGGAGCUCCUGCUGCAUGGUGGGGGUUGGAAAGUUUCGGCGGUUGGGGAUGGACUCGCGGCUUAUCAGCUUGUUGGGUGGGUAGUGGCUUACCCAGGCCUUGACGGGUAGCCGGCCUGGGAGGGUGACCGGCCACAUUGGGACUGAGAUACGGACCAGUCUCCUACGGGAGGCAGCAGUGGGGAAUAUUGCACAAUGGGCGGAAGCCUGAUGCAGCAACGCCGCGUGCGGAAUGACGGCCUUCGGGUUGUAAACCGCUUUCGCCUGUGACGAAGCGUGAGUGACGGUAAUGGGUAAAGAAGCACCGGCUAACUACGUG